UACGGAGGGGGGCUAGCGUUGUUCGGAAUUACUGGGCGUAAAGCGCACGUAGGCGGCUUUGCAAGUUAGAGGUGAAAGCCCCGGGGGCUCAACUCCGGAAUUGCCUUUAAAACUGCAUCGCUAGAAUUGUGGAGAGGUAAGUGGAAUUCCGAGUGUAGAGGUGAAAUUCGUAGAUAUUCGGAAGAACACCAGUGGCGAAGGCGACUUACUGGACACAUAUUGACGCUGAGGUGCGAAAGCGUGGGGAGCAAACAGGG
rnacentral:rRNA from 1 species